UACAGAGGGGGCAAGCGUUGUUCGGAAUUACUGGGCGUAAAGGGCGCGUAGGCGGCCUGUUAAGUCAAACGUGAAAUCCCCGGGCUCAACCCGGGAACUGCGUCCGAUACUGGCAGGCUUGAAUUCGGGAGAGGGAUGUGGAAUUCCAGGUGUAGCGGUGAAAUGCGUAGAUAUCUGGAGGAACACCGGUGGCGAAGGCGGCAUCCUGGACCGAUAUUGACGCUGAUGCGCGAAAGCCAGGGGAGCAAACGGG
rnacentral:rRNA from 1 species